rnacentral:rRNA from 1 species
GACAGAGGAGGCGAGCGUUAUCCGGAAUGAUUGGGCGUAAAGCGUUCGCAGGUGGCUGUUCAAGUCUGCUGUCAAAGACCGGGGCUUAACCCCAGAAAGGCAGUGGAAACUGAACGGCUGGAGUGCAGAUCGGGUAGAGGGAAUUCCCAGUGUAGCGGUGAAAUGCGUAGAGAUUGGGAAGAACACCGGUGGCGAAAGCGCUCUGCUGGACUGCAACUGACACUGAGGGACGAAAGCUAGGGGAGCGAAAGGG